AGAGACCCUGUGGAAGAGAGACGGAGACUGCGGCAAAAAGAGGAAAGGAGGGUUACGGGCACCGAGGGGGAGCUGGAGUCAGCCGCAAGGAGAGAGGGAGCGGGGGAGGAAAAGAGGCGGGAGAGAGACCCUAAAAAGCAAGCUAGACUCUCCAGCCGGCCGCUCUGGUGUGGGGAGGGAGCGUCAUCUCAAGGACACUGAAAAAGCUGUUUGCCGUUUUGCUGUUUGCCUCCUUGUCACGACCUCAGCGACGGCAGAUGGAGCCAGUGGAGGGAGAGAGACAGACGGCAAUGCUUGGGUAGCCAGGGCUCCCUGCCGGCCCCACUCCUCCUGCAGACACGAGCACGCACACACACACGCGCGCAAAACACACACGCUGCCCUUCGCCACACGUAGCCAAGUAAAAUACACAAAAAGCAACUGAGAUACCAUUCGCACAUGACCACAUGGAAACACACAAAUGAACAAACGCAUUCAGGCAUAGCCACAUGCCAGUCACACAGAUGGAUAGACAAGAGCCUGGGGUACAAAGCCACAUGGCACAAAGCCACCUGGAUGUAUAUGCCCCUACACACGCACACAGAAAAAAACAUGCAAACUUAAGUACACACCUAUCCAGACAAGUGUGAGUGCACACACACACACACUCACACACUCUACCUGACACGUUAGUGCAUCCCCAUUGGGCCCCAGUUUCUCUCAGCAAAUUCAGAUCACCCAGCCUGACUUCAAAACCUGCCCCCUUCCAUUCCCCUUCAUGCUGGUUCCUGAAUCCAGCUCGUUGCUCCAGGCUAGCAAAGCUGUCCACAGCCUCAUUUGUGGUUUGCUCACCUGCCUCAGCACCAUCAGCCAGAGGGGGCGAGGAACGCGGCUCUGCGGAGGAGCGGAAUCUUCUCAGCAGCGAUCUGCGAAGGGCUCAGCGGCCACAGGAGGGCGGCAGAGAACAGCGCUCCCUACAGAUCCAGACGUCGGCCCUGGAUGCUGUCUGGAAUCCAGGCAAGGCCAGGCUGGGCUGCCCUAGGCCGGGGACGUCUUUAGCUCGAGCAAAAACCCAUGAAUUUCAGAAUUCAGGAAUCCUUGCAUCCCUUCUCAAGCUCUCUAGUCCCUGAAAUGCCAUCGCCCUCCUCAGCCUCCCUUCCAUUUCUCGUUCUCCUAGCACUGGGGCUGCUGGCACAGAAGGACCCUGUGGCUUUUCCUUCAUGGUAUAGCAGAUGACACCCACGCUCCUCCGUGACAUUCCCUAGGGUCCCAGCUGAUAACUGGAGCUAGAACUAGAACCCACGACUUCUUGGUUCUCUGCGCAGGGGUCUUCCCAUUGUGUCAGCUGCAGCUCCUGAAAUAAAACCAUACCCUACAGGCCACAACCA
rnacentral:lncRNA from 1 species